rnacentral:lncRNA from 1 species
CUCUUUUUCACAGAAUAACUUAUACUGAUGCUUAUUCAAGAGGGCACUUCGCUGCCAGCAGCACCAACUACAUGAACUCUGCCUGCCUGCACUGUGGCGCUGUUGGUUCCAUUUUAUAGGCAUUGCAAGAUGCCUUGAUGAAGAAGUCAUGCUGUCCUGGCUUUUCAAGUGAAACAUUUGAAUUGCUAAGCUGACCACCAACAGCUGUACUUUCUGCAUGGAUGGCUAGCACAGGAGGAGAUAAAACUGCUGGCAAAUCCAGUCCACUCUUGGAAAGCACAAGAAUGACCAUGGUGAGAUUAUCACUGUUAACCCUUUUAUCACUGGAAGUGAUAAAGUUUUGCUGGAUUGGACAAUUCAAUGGAAAACUACUGGAUAACUGAAAGCGAGUAUUCUGCUUCAUGACAAGACAUUUACAGGCCCAGAGUGCAUACUUUCCUGGUCAGAGGAACAUGUGUUGUGCCUUGAAGAACAAAUCAGAUGGGAAAGAAGUGGAGCUGCGCAAUAAAAGCACCACAACGAUAAUCAUUCUGUUGUAUAGCAGCUCAAAGAAAUGCGUUGACAAAUCUGUGGCAACACGUGACUCUGAACAAACAAGGUUUCACAAGUGAAGACUGUGUGCUGUUUGAGCAAGAAUAUCACACAUCUUGCCUCUGACAACUACUGAUUUGUUGCUUCUGAUUUAAGUCAUGCUCUGACCAGGAAGAACUACAUGGAACAGUGACACCUUUAGUCCUUUCUCUAUAUUCAAAAUAUUUUUAUACACACUCAUGACUGAAACAAAUAUAAGUGUUCUAUUCCCUGGUAUAGAUGCAAUAGGUUGGCCUUAAUUUCAAAUGUUAGGUGUAUAUGUCUUCUUUGUAAAAUUUUAAAAGCAAAAUGAGGUAGUCAGAUGUUCUUUUGGGGUGGACAUCUGGAAGAAUUAGACCAAGAAAGAAAAGAAGGCUUUGGUGGUGUUGUGGAGAAAUCACUCCUCUUCAAUCAGCUCUAGAAAGUUUAGGAAAAAGGUGGUUAAUUCAUGAAAAUAGAAAAAAUGUUAAGUGCAGUUUUUGCUAGCACUAUUUUAAAAAGUGAAUAAAUCAACAAGAUUUAAAUUAAAGCUCUCUACA